ensembl:lncRNA
UUUGCUUCCUGGCCAGGAAUACAUAAUAUCUGUGGAGGUUUUAAACUGUGGUGAGAAGACCAGUACUUCAAUGACGGUUCAGACAGCAUCCAAAAACUUCAAAGGACAAACCAGGUUGAUAGAUAAAGUGUUCAACCCUCAGUACAGAAACAAAUCAAGUGCAGCAUUUAAAGACUUCGAAAAGAAUUUCACUGAUGAGAUAGGGGGAAAAUUAACAGGCGAGUUCAAAAACUUAUUUGACAUGAGGAAAUUGCGUAUAGUAAUUGACAGUCUUAGCAAUGGCAGCGUGACUGUGCUCUUCCACAUGGUGAUGCCUGUGCAACAA